UUCGCCUGCCUGGUGGCACCGCGAGAACCCAGGGCCGGCCUGUGCGGACCUCCUCCUGGGCCUCCCGCCCCUUUUCCCCGCCGUCCAAUCAGAUCGGGCGAGGGGCACGGGGCCUCGAGAGCCCGUAGGCGGCGGCCCUGCGGACCGAGCAGUAACGACUGCGGCUUCCAGAAGUCCCAGUUACGCCGCGAGUAACGGUCGCUCCGAAUUCCGAGUCUUCGCCCUAGGGAAGAUGAGACGGUCGCCAGUUUCUCCGGCUCUUCGUCCGGGGCCUCGACAUUCCCUUACCUGCUUCCCCUCAGGGGAGUGACGAGCUAGGCCUGCUCUCCGCCCUUCUCUUUGGGGCUCUCUACGAGUCUCUGUAUACUGUCCAGGUGACAGGGGUGACAAGAGAGACAGUGCUCACUUAUUAUUGUUGUUGUUGAGAGACAUUACUCAUUUAUUAUUGUUGUUGUUACCAUUAUUAUUAUUUGAAAUCUCCUCUGCCCUAGAAUUGAGCUUCUUGAGAGUAAGAACGCCGGUUCGUCGUCGUCACCCACCGCUUACCGCAGUGCUGAGGGUUCGCCAGGCGCUAGCAGUUUGCUGAAGAGAGUGGGUGUUUAUAGUGAAAAGAGAAGUGAGUUGGAAAUUAGAAAACCUGGCUUCGCGCGCCUGCCUCGCCAUCUGCCGCCUGGCGCGGCGCCUCUUGAGGUCUCCCCGCCUAGGCCGAGGCUCUGCUCGCCGUUCUGGAAGGUGUUGAGAAGAGUGUAGCGGUAAGAGGAUAGUGUCUGGACCUAAACCCCUUGUGAGCCAUUGAAGGUUUGUCUGACUCAUCUCUCCCUAUGACUUCGAAUUUUCGCAAGCUGGAUGUGGUCUGCAUUUUUCGCAUUCCCUCCUCUAACCCCUCCAUGGUCAGAAGAGACAGUGCAAGCUACAGUGUGUACACUGAAGGUGAUGUUCUCUCUUCUCAAUAGUUCCUAAAAGGAGGGAUUUCAGUUAUGAAAGGUGAAGAGAAAGCCUGAGGAUACCGAGCAUCUUAAAUCAAGUCCUCUGUAACCAGGGAGGACCCAAUGAGAAAACAGUCAUCUGCAACACAGAAGAGGGCCCUCACCAGAAUCCCACCAUGCUGUCAUCCUGAUCUCAGACUUCCAGCUCAGAACU